GAGACAGGCGUGAGGUUGUGUAUGAAUGUAUGUAAUUUUAUAAAAGUUAUACAUUCACUUUUAUAGAAAUAAUGUUAUGUACACAUUACAAAAUACAUACAUCAUAUUCUACUUAUGCCACGAUCAUCUACUUGGUUGUAAUGUAGAGGCAUACAAUAAUGUAAAGUUAACAUGACCUUCAAGUGCUGCAUGAAAAAGAAAUAAAAGUUGUGGGUAGGUUUAUUACGUUGCAAUCAAUAAAUGUAUCAACUAACUACAUACACUAUUUCUUAACAGCGAAAUCAUCGCAUUAUUUCGUUUAGGUGAAAAACAUUAACAAAAAACAAAAAUGACAGAUUUUUCAUUGUGGUUCCUGGUUAUCGCCAAUGUUUUAACAGCAUUUUUAUUAUUAAUGAUUGGAUUAAGUGUAAUUCCAUGGUGUGCUCGUCAAUUUACCAGUACAGUACAUACUACCAACUCUUGGAACCACAUACAGACGAUAGCAGCGCAUGACAGCCUCACCACCUCACUCCCGCCACUACCACCUUACUUUUUUGGAAGUGAAGUUAAGUUUGUAGAAUCUGUUUAAGAAAAAAUGUAUGUUUGCUUUGAAUUUACUUGUGUACAAAUUGUUAAUUCGAAUUUAUGUUUAAAAAUUAUAUUUUAUCUCUAUUUGUUUAGAAUGGACAUUCAAAUGUUAAUUUAAUAAAAUACUUUUAUAUUUGUA